GAGUUUGAUCCUGGCUCAGGAUGAACGCUGGCGGCGUGCUUAACACAUGCAAGUCGAACGGGAAACUUUUCAUUGAAGCUUCGGCAGAUUUGGUCUGUUUCUAGUGGCGAACGGGUGAGUAACGCGUGAGUAACCUGCCCUGGAGUGGGGGACAACAGUUGGAAACGACUGCUAAUACCGCAUAAGCCCACGGCCCGGCAUCGGGCUGCGGGAAAAGGAUUUAUUCGCUUCAGGAUGGACCCGCGUCUGAUUAGCUGGUUGGUGAGGUAACGGCUCACCAAGGCGACGAUCAGUAGCCGGCUUGAGAGAGUGAACGGCCACAUUGGGACUGAGACACGGCCCAAACUCCUACGGGAGGCAGCAGUGGGGAAUAUUGCACAAUGGGGGAAACCCUGAUGCAGCGACGCCGCGUGAGUGAAGAAGUAUCUCGGUAUGUAAAGCUCUAUCAGCAGGGAAGAAAAUGACGGUACCUGACUAAGAAGCCCCGGCUAACUACGUGCCAGCAGCCGCGGUAAUAC
rnacentral:rRNA from 1 species